rnacentral:rRNA from 1 species
UACGAGAGGCCCAAACGUUAUUCGGAAUUACUGGGCUUAAAGGGUUCGUAGGCGGCGCAGAAAGUAGGGUGUGAAAGCCCUCGGCUCAACCGAGGAAUUGCGCUCUAAACUACUGUGCUUGAGGAACCUAGAGGUGAGCAGAACAGAUGGUGGAGCGGUGAAAUGCGUUGAUAUCAUCUGGAAUACCGGAGGCGAAGGCGGCUCACUGGGGGUUUUCUGACGCUGAGGAACGAAAGCCAGGGUAGCGAACGGG